rnacentral:rRNA from 1 species
CACGGAUCCAGAGUUUGAUUAUGGCUCAGAUUGAACGCUGGCGGCAGGCCUAAUACAUGCAAGUCGAACGGUAACAUGGAAGUAGCAAUACUUUUGAUGACGAGUGGCGGACGGGUGAGUAAAAUUUGGGAAUCUACCUAUCAGAGGGGGAUAGCGACUGGAAACGGUUGAUAAAACCGCGUACGCUCUGAGGAGGAAAGUAAUGGGAUCGANAGACCAUUAGCUGAUAGAUGAGCCCAAACGGGAUUAGCUAGUAGGCGGGGUAAUAGCCCACCUAGGCGACGAUCUCUAGCUGGUUUUAGCGGAUGAUCAGCCACAUUGGAACUGAGACACGGUCCAAACUCCUACGGGAGGCAGCAGUAGGGAAUAUUGCACAAUGGAGGGAACUCUGAUGCAGCCAUGCCGCGUGUGUGAAGAAGGCCUUCGGGUUGUAAAGCACUUUAGUUUUCGAGAAAGGGUGCUGUUCAAAUAGGAUAGUAUUCAGAUGUUAGAAAAAGAAUAAGUACCGGCAAACUCCGUGCCAGCAGCCGCGGUAAUACGGAGGGUACGAGCGUUAAUCGGAAUGACUGGGCGUAAAGGGCACGUAGGUGGAUAGAUAAGUCACAAGUGAAAUACCCGGGCUUAACCUGGGAUUGGCUCGUGAAACUGUUUAACUAGAGUACGGUAGAGGGGAGUAGAAUUCCAAGUGUAGCGGUGAAAUGCGUAGAGAUUUGGAAGAAUACCGGAGGCGAAGGCGGCCCUCUGGACCGAUACUGACACUGAAGAGCGAAAGCGARGGGGAGCAAACAAGAUUAGAUACCCUGGUAGUCCACGCCGUAAACGAUGUCGACCAGGAKUUUGGCGCCUAAGAGGUGUUGGGUUCCAGAACCAACG